GGUCAGUGAUGAACAGUAAAAGGUCUGAUUCCCACAAUCCUCUGCUGCCUCCGGCUCCCAGCAGCCCGCUCUCUGCUCCCAUCAUGCUCCAGUCAUGCAGCCAUGGGCCCAGCAGCUGCUGACACACAGGAUGUGACAUCACACAGGAUGUGACAUCACUGAGAGGUUGACUUGAGAACCUGCGGCCUCUCAGUGAUGCUGAUCCAACAUGACUAAUCAGUAUGGGGCGUCAGGAGGAGGAGGACGGAGCUGAUCUCAAGUUUUCAAGCUGAGACC